rnacentral:rRNA from 1 species
GACGAACGCUGGCGGCGUGCUUAACACAUGCAAGUCGAGCGGGAAAGGCCCUUCGGGGUACUCGAGCGGCGAACGGGUGAGUAACACGUGAGUAACCUGCCCCUAGCUCUGGAAUAAGCCCGGGAAACUGGGUCUAAUACCGGAUAUCACACACUUUUGCAUGAUGGUGUGUUGAAAGUUUUUCGGCUGGGGAUGGGCUCGCGGCCUAUCAGCUUGUUGGUGGGGUGAUGGCCUACCAAGGCGACGACGGGUAGCCGGCCUGAGAGGGCGACCGGCCACACUGGGACUGAGACACGGCCCAGACUCCUACGGGAGGCAGCAGUGGGGAAUAUUGCGCAAUGGGCGGAAGCCUGACGCAGCGACGCCGCGUGGGGGAUGAAGGCCUUCGGGUUGUAAACCUCUUUCACCACCGACGAAGCUAACGUGACGGUAG